AUGGUGGACGCUUGGCUGACAUCCCCUGAAUUCGGAAAACUCCAGCAGUUCGAGUUCUACCAUUACCAUGAAAGUUUCAUACCACGAACACAUCAAGAAUUCGUGCCCACACCACCGUUGUCUAUCUCGCGGUUUUCCUCCUCUCUCCACACCGCCACCUUCACCUGGUGCUAUCUACCAAACGAUCUGGUACAAAUGCUUCAACUCCUACUGCUAAAAAAACUUCCGCUUGUGGUGGUUUAUCUGUCAGAGGCCUCACUGCACGGCAUCAUCCACUCCAGUUGCCCUGCCCUGGAGCGCCUGCUGAUUGUUUUGGGAAUAGAAAUCCCUAUCAGUUGUCUCCAAAUAAAGUCGCCUCACCUUAAAAGCAUUGGAAUUUGUUUUGAAGGACAGCAGCUCAUCAUCGAAGAUUCCCCUUCACUUCAAAGGUUGCUCCUUGAUAAUUGUUAUAAACCUUCGCAAAUAAUUGUCGUCUCUAUGCCCAAACUGGAGACCUUGGGUGUAAUUCGUGAUCCGUUUAAUGAUCACAGGAAGUUGGUGUUUGGCUCCUCACUUUUUCAGGUACCGUAUAUUAUCAUCUACACAUUUGUAAUCAUAAGCUGCAUUUUUCAUUUGUGCGCAUAA
rnacentral:rRNA from 1 species